CGGGAUGUGGCGCAGUUUGGCCUAGCGCGCUUGCCUUGGGAGCAAGAGGGCGGGGGUUCGAAUCCCCCCAUCCCGACCA
rnacentral:tRNA from 1 species